UUACUUUUUCUGAUGAUAAACUCAUACCUAACUCAGAUAAAUUAUGUUGAAAUCUAUUUAACAUGCAUCACCAUCUGACCUUAUUAAG